GACGAACGCUGGCGGCGUGCUUAACACAUGCAAGUGGUGCGAUGAACCAGGCUUCGGCCUGGGGCGAAGCCGCGAACGGGUGAGUAACACGUGGGCAAUCUGCCCCUUUGAUCGGGACAACCCGGGGAAACCCGGGCUAAUACCGAAUGAGGUGGCGACUCAUGAGAGUCGUCACGAAAGGAAGCUUCGGCCUCCGCGAAGGGAUGAGCCCGCGGCCCAUUAGCUAGUUGGUGGGGUAAUGGCCUACCAAGGCAACGAUGGGUAGCUGGUCUGAGCGGACGAUCAGACACAAUGGGACUGAGACACGGCCCAGACUCCUACGGGAGGCUGCAGUGGGGAAUCUUGCGCAAUGAGCGACAGCUUGACGCAGCAACGCCGCAUGAGGGAAGAAGGCUUUCGGGUCGUAAACCUCUUUCAGUUAGGACGAAGCUUUAUUGGUUAAUAACCAAUUGGAGUGACGGUACUUUCAGAAGAAGCCCCGGCUAACUACGUGCCAGCCGCCGCAGUAA
rnacentral:rRNA from 1 species